AUGACUGGAGCGUCUGGCUCGCGGAGAUCAACAUGGCAGUUUUCCUGUGCACCCGCAUAAAACCGUCCGCCUACUCAGAUGUGGCUGAGGGAGUGGACUGCUGCUGGUCAUCUCUAUCAGAGGAAUGUUGAUGGACACCACUCUCCUCCCCUGGUGACAACUCUUGAUGCAUCCCUACUGUGACAAGCAAGUUUAUGAACUUUGGACAUAUUGAGAUUAUAGUCUGGCUGAGGUAAGUGCUGAUGUGGGCCUAAACCACAGCCUGCACCGUGGGACUGUCACAGAGACACAGUUGAGUGAUGAUGUGUCCCUACAGGCCUUACCACCAUUAUUUCCUUCAUACUUAUUCAGGUGAGAAAUGAUUGAGUCUUGUCUUGGUAAGUGAUGAUGGUGAUGAUGGUGUAGGCCUCCCUGUUGUUCCCGAUUUCGCUUCAGGUGUCCCUGACAUAUUCGAAACCGUGAGUUUUCCCUCUGCAUAUUUCAGAGACAAUGCCUAACCCCGUGUUCACAGUGGAACUUUGAAUACUUGGUAAUUAUCCGGUGUUCCUUCCCACAGCAGUGACCAUGGACAUUUUGCAGGUGUCCUGUAGAGAGAAAUGCUGUCUUCUGGGACCACCGCCCUGAGCUUGGGGGCCCCCACUAGCAUUCAGGUUCCCGGGAGAAAAUCCUGAAGAACGGGGGUCAUGAGCAGGGGACGUGUCUGCUAUCUGGGUAAGUGAUUGUGUGCACCAUAAACUUACCACGGACAACCUGAUCUUCACGUUUGUAGGUCAGUGAGGUUCCUUUCCCUGAACAGUUUACCAUGUGAUGCGUUUAUGGGUAUUCCGGUAAGAAAGGGUAGUGGCUCCUCGUUCUCCUUGCCAUGUAAUCCUAUUGUUUUCUGUCUUGGAGAGAACGUAUGAGGUAAGUACCCUGUGAGUGCUGAUGGAUUGGCACGUAACCAGGGAACUCCAGUGGCACUGUGCAUCACAGGAGUAACUAAGGUGGAUGUGCAGAGAAGACGGCCAGAGAAAAUGAAGUGUCCUAUGAUGUCCUACCCCUUGGAGCAACCACAAGCAUCCAGAAGUCAAGGGAACCCUCAUUAUGCUCGAGCAGGGGCACUCUGCCCAUAUCCAGAGAGGAGACAGUAUGGGCGUAAGCAGGCCAUGGACGAUCCAGUCUUCCGAUACACAGGAUAAUGUGCAUUGAACCUGAGUCCGUGUUGACUGUGGUAGAUGCGGGUGUCCAGGUAUGCCAAGUGGCAUCCCGGAAAACACCUGUCAGAUGCGUUUCUUCUGCUGCUGCUAGUCAUGAGAUCAAGGUGGGUCUGAGAAUGGCCAUUCAGAGGCCCUGGAUAGUAACCAGGUAAUGGAUGACACCAGUCCUAUGCCAAUACAGACCACUUGAACUUCAGAUUUCCUGGACAAAGAGGGCACUGUCCUUGACACAGUGUUUUUCCCAUGGUUUCCUGCAGGAGUCCCGUAAAGUUCUCUUCCUGUAGAGAGGUAGGAGAUGUUGUGGCAUUACCUCAUGAAAGACAUUCUGAAUUUCCUGCAUGUAGAUAGUUAAUGAUGGUUUAAGUCUGGUAGAGUAACCUUGUGUUUGGCAUAUGUGUCAUUGAGAAAAAAUAAUUAGUGAUUCCCAAUGCCAGUAAGCAUGAGAUUUUACUGUUUGCUUAUUCAGAGGUAAGGGCUUUUAUUUUUUUUUUUCGGUAAAUCUGACCCUCCACGUGAGAAACAGAUAUGCCAGUGCCCAGGUAGUUGAUCAUAUUGUCUGUCACCCCGAUGUGGACUGUGCUGUUUCUCCAGGUAUCCCUCGGAGGCUCUGGCUUAGAUAUUUUCAGUUAUCUGGGUAACCUGGAUGAGUUGCGAAACGAUACCAAUGAACAAGAGUAUUUGUGGGUGUCCUCGUAGCAUAGGUUGUGUACCAAGCAGAGUUUCCCCAAUAUGUCUUUCAGAUGAAUGUCAGGGCAUCACAGCAGGCCUUUUGAAGCUAGGUAACGUGGGGCAUUGCUGGCUGAGGUAAGUGCUGACACAGGCCUAAACCACAGCCCGCAGCAUCGUACUGUCACAGAGGCUUAUUUCAAUGAUGAUGUGCCCCUACACAUCUUCCCGCCAUGAUUUCUUUUCCAUGUAUUCAGAUGAGAAAUGAUUCCGUUUUCACCACUCCCAGAUAGGCCGGGUUUUCCCAUUUUAUAAAAGUAUAUGCUGAACCCUGUGAGUGUUGAGGGAUUGCAGGGAGCCAGGUAUUUAUCGCUGUGUUCCCCACUUCUGUGCUGCCGCUCCGAUUUCUAGAGAUGUGCAGUUGAGAAACAGUAGUUUUCUGCUGUCAGGGUCGACCUGAGAUUACUGCAACUAUACACAUCGAGUGGGUGUGUCCCAUAAAGAUGGAAAUAAACAUGGGACUUUGUGGGAGUCUUUGCAGAAAACCCCCUGUCUUUUUACACAUAUGUAUUGGUGCCUCUUUCAGAUUCCUGCUAUGACAUCACAGUGAAUCCAACAUGGGUCCCUAUCAGGAAGCAGGGCUGCUCUGCAGGUCAAGGCUGCAUGAGGACCCAAAGCAACACAUGGGCCACUUGAAGUUCAGGUGUAUAGGUAAGUGAGGAUGGUGUCCAUACUUCCUGUUGUUCCCAUGAUUUCACCUCAGGUGUCCUGGUCAGAAAUGACAAAUGUCCCUGGCACACUAGAAACCGUGAGAUUUCCCUCUGCAUAUUUCAGAGACAAUGUCUAACCCAGUGAGCACAGUGGGACUGCAAAUACCAGGUAAUGAUCUUGGGGUUCCCAGCCACAGCGAUUACGCUGGACAUUUUGCAGGUGUCUUGUAGAGAGAAAUGCUGUUUUCUGGGCCUGCAGCCCUGAGCUUAGGGGGUCCCACCAGCAUCCAAGUAAGAGUCCUUCAACGAUGGAUGCGAGCAUUGUGAUUUGCAUGUGUCCUGUUAGAACACUUUGUGUGUUUCUGAGGCAUAUAUCUCAGUGUAGGUUUUCCAGGGUCCCACAAGGAAAUCCCGAUAAACAGGAGUCAGGAUCAGGGAACACGUCUGCUAUCUGGGUAAGUGAUGGUGUUCAUGGUAAACUCACCACACACCAGGCGAUCUCCACAUACCUAGGUAAGCAAGGUUCCUUUGCCUGAAGGGUUUAUCAUGUGAUGGGUUAACAGGUAUUUUGGUAAGAAAGGGUAGCGGCUCUCCGUUCUCCUCGCCAUGUGAUCCUAUUGAUUUCUACCCUGGAAAGAAUGUAUGAUGUAUGUGGUCUGUGAGGGCUGAUUGAUUGUCACAUACCCAGGGAACUCAUGUGGCAUUGUGCAUCACAGGAGUAACUGUGGUGGAUUUGCAGGGAAACUGGCCAGGGAAAAAUAGUGUGUCCUACAAUGGCCUAGACCCUGGAGGGCCUGCAAGCAUCCAAAUACAUUUUUGACUCCCACAGUGAUUAUACUGAGCAAGGCGGUUUGCAGGAUCCUGAUGGAAAAGCUGUGUCUGUUGAGCCAUUGAUCACACUUGCAGUUUCAGGUUCAGGCAGGCAGAAGUCAGAGCAUGAGGACAACAUUGAGGUCUCUCCAGGCGAUUUAUGGACUCUCGGAUUUGGUAGUGAUUCAGAUAUGAUGGCGAACCUAAUCACAAAAUAACCAUGAGAUCAUGAGAUUGUCAGGGGUCUAGUAAAAAGAUGGUGGUCCCCUUAACCAUGAAAGUUAUGAUGAAAUUUUGUAAGCCAGUAAUUAAGAGAUCACAGAGAUCCUAACCGUGAUACUGAACAAGGAAUUUUGCAAAUCACCAGGUAAGAGAUGAUUGUGUCUCUAAAAAUGUGGUGACCGUGGGAUUUUGCAGAUAUCCAAUUAAGGAAUAAUGUGUUCCUAGAAAUUGUAGUACCAAGGUAUUCAGCAGUUACCCAGGAAAGAAAUGGUAUGUCCCUAGCAAUGGCAUUUAAUCUGGGUAAUUUGUAGGUCUCCAUGUAUGGUAGGUUUUUCUAAAUCUGAUAGAUCUCAUGGGCUUCUGUAGGCAUCCGCAUGAGAGAUGAUAUGUCAUAAAUUGUAAGUAACUGCCACUACCGUAACCAAAGUAUUUUAUAAGUGUCCAGCUAAGAGCUCUGGCUUUAUGUAUUUGUUGGAUUUAUGACCAUUUUUUUCUGUGUUUUCAUAGUUUUUUUUCUUUUUUUGAGAGUCUGGCUGAGGUAUUGCUGAUGCACGCAUAAACCACAGCAUGCACCAUGGGACUGUCCCAGGGACCUGGUUCACUGAUGAGAUGUCCCCACACGUCUUCCCGCCGUGAUUUCUUUCACAGGUACUCAGCUGAGAAAUGAUUGAGUCCUUACCAAUCCCAGAUUGGCCAGGUUUUCCCAUUUUCUGUUUCAACAAAAGUGUAUGCUGAAACCUGUGAGUGUAGAGGGAUUGCAGGGAGUCAGGUAUUUAUCACUGUAUUCCCCGCCCCCGUGCUGCCCCUAGGAUGUCUACAGGUGAACAGUCGAGAAACGGUGGUUUUCUGCUAUCAGGGUCGACCUGAGAUUACUGCAAGUAUCCAGGUCGAGUGGGUGUGUCCCCAAAAGAUGGAAAUCAAGGUUAUUUGUAGGAGUGCUGGUGGAAAACCCCAUGUCCUUCUACACAUGUGUCUUCUACACAUCUGAUUUUGCAAGCUGCCAGAGAAGAUAUGAUGGUGUCUCUAAAAAUGUCUAAACAUGUGGUGACCACGGGAUUUUGCAGAUAACCAGUUAAGUAAUAAUGUGUCACUAGAAAUGGUAGUCCCAAGGUAUUUAACAGUUUUUCAGUCACCCAGGAAAGAAAUGAUGUGUCCUUAGCAAUGGCAUUUAAUUUGGUUAAUUUGUAGGUCUCCAUGUCUGGUAGGUAUUUCUAUAUCUGGUUGAUCUCCUGGGCUUCUGUAGGCAUCCACAUGAGAGAUGAUGUGUCACAAAUUGUAACCAAGUGCCAAGGUAUUUUACAAGUAUCUCACUUAAAGCUCUGGUGAAUAUAAGUUUUUGAAGAUACCCAGUAGGGAAUGAUGUUGGCCUAAGCCGUGGUAAUGCCCACGAGUAGUGCCCAUAUCUUGGUAACAGGUGGUGUGUGUCUAAUUAUGGUUGUCACCAUGGUUUUUUUGCAAAUUCCAGCAACAUAAUGAAGACAAUCUUAACCGCUCUUAUGAAUAUAGGAUUUCGCAAGAAUUGAGGAAAGAAAUAAUGUGGGCUUUAACCAAGUAGACAUGAUUAGAUUUUGGGGAUUUCUAAAUAAGUGAUCACGGUGUCCCUAACCAUGGGAUUUUGCAGGUUGUAGUCAAUAGGUGAUGAUGAAUUUAACAGUAGGCGCAAACAUGGGAUUUCUUGAUACCCAGGUAAGACAUGAUGUGGUCCUUAAACAUAUUACAGACCAUAUGAUUUUUUAGAUACCUAGAUAAGCAAUAAUAUAUCCUGAAAUCUUGAUGUUACCUUUUUUUUUUCCCAUUUAAAAAGUCGCUCAUUCUCAAAUAUUUGUGCAGGGCUGAUUUCAGAGUAUAAGAAUGCACCAGCGGUUGGCCCAGUGACUCACGCUUUAAUCCCUACACUUUCGGAGGCCGAGGCGGGCAGAUCACUUUAGGUCAGGAGUUCGAGACCAGCCUGGCCAACAUAGUGAAACCCUGUCUCUACUAAAAGUACAAAAUUUAGCCGGGCGUCCUUGUACAUGCCUGUAGUCCCAGCUAGUCGGGAGGCUGAGGCACGAGAAUCACUUGAACCCAGAAGGCAGAUGUUGCAGUGAGCCGAGGUUGGGCCACUGCAGUCCAGACUGGGCGACAGAGCGUCUUUGCCCCCAUCACCCCACCCCCAAACAAAGAAAGAGUAAUGCACCAGAGUCAUGAAAUAAUGAUCUUACCACAGAGGGCGUAAAAAACAAAACCUCAGAAAAUAUUACCAUAUUUCGAAAGACUUGUGGAAAAUAAUUAAGGACCAGGUAGCAGAAAUUGUGAUCAGAGGAAAUAACAUAAGAAUAUACUUAAGCGCACAGUACAUAGUUGGAGGGAGAACUGUUUAUCCUUCUAAAACCGUUACUAUGAUCAACACAGACAAGAGACACUUCCCUGAAAGGUUAAAUUGUUUCAUGAGAAAUAAAAGCAACCAAAAUGAGCCACAUUAUCUACAAUAGAAGAGACUAUAUGGAAAAAGUUCUAUGGCAAGAGCUAAUUCGUUGGUAUACAAAAAGAUCCAUGAAAAAUGACCCAAUUUUAGACACAUUAGAUAUUGCAGGCUCAAAAAUCAAAGGAACAUUUUGAAAGCUAAUUUAAAUUUAAUUAAUUGCUGAAUGUCUCCUUGGCUAGUAGUUGAACGAUCAUUAUUUAGUCCCACAUCUCUCUCGUCAUUUUGUUUGCAAACUGUCUAAAAGCCUUAUUUCCUCAUCUCUUUGACAGAUGACCAAAAUGGAUCCUACAGUAUAAUCACACAGGAUAAUGUUGGAAAGUAUGACUAUCUAAAUUAUUUUUAAAGGCAUUAUUUUUCCCCUUUGAUUUUCAAAUUCUUUCUCAUAAUUUCUAAAAUGGUGUCGACAGCGGCCUGUACUGUGCCUUCACUGAUGUCAUCACUGAGAUCACUCUCAAUUGCUCUCGAACUUGUUGUUGGCCUUUCGUGUAGGUAUGAACUGUGGCCCGGCAGAUCUGACUGUUGUUGCUGCUGCUUCUGUUCCUGCUGAUGCUUUUCAAAAUAGUCUUCUUUUAUUUUCUUCGGCUGUUCUGAAGCAGGAGUUACACAUGAUGUCUUUGGAAGAUCUUGCGAUGUGUUUCCGGAACUACCUUGCAUGCUUAACUCAAUAGUACUGCGGAGAUGUUCAUCUUCUCUAUUGGUUUCUUGGCGGCUUAGUUCAAGGGCCCUCUGAAAAUCCUCCUCAUCUUGGUCUGAUGUUCCAGACUCAUCACUUUCUUCUGAUACUUUUUCAAGGACUGUUUUAUAGACUCUAUGCUCUUUUUGUUUUACUAAUUUUUUUCCAUUAAGUUUUGGUGUAUCCAUCUCUUCGACACUGAUGAUCUGCAGGAGUUGGUCAGCUUCACAGUCUGGCAGAUCACCCUUGACAACAAAUACAGAAUAUGCUUGUUGUUGUAAUCGAGCCAAGAAAUUUGCAAGGCAUGUAUCUGAUAUUAAUUCUGGACCCGCCAAGAGAGAAUUCAAGUUAAACCAGUGUUUUCCAAAUUUUCUAAUAGUAAACCAGUGUUGUUUAUAAUUACAUAUAAAAGAUCUUUCAUUUAUAGGAUCAAUGCCGAGCUUCUGAUAUUCAGGAUUAUUGAAAUGGAUGAUCUCUAAACCCCAGAACUUCAAGGCAUUGCUUAUUACCUGAAUGGAGAAGAAACCGGUAUCAUCCAUGUUUUCUGAAGGCUGCUGUAAAAAUGCAAGAUACUCUUCACUGGUGACUCCUCCUUCUGCCAUUCUCAUCCUCUCUUCUUCAUCUAGCUGAUGUGCAAUUGAGGCUAAUUCCACAGGGCUAAAAUAUUCUCCUUGCAAUAGAUUGUUCAGACAGUGCUGAGCACACAGGAAACCUUCCUGUUUCUCAUGAAAGAUGAAAUCCAUGUUAAUUGUAUCCGUGAGUUUCUGUAGGUAUGCCGGAAGAUGUUGUAUGCCCAGCUAUGGCAGUUACCUGGGCAGUUUGUGGAUAGCCAUGUAACAGAUGUUAGGUUUUCAAACCUUAUGAAGACCAUGGGUUUUUGCAGGUAUUCAGGUAAGAGAUGGUAUGUCACAAAGCACUAUUGUGACCAAGGUGGUUUUGCCAGUAUCCAGUCAAAAGCUGAUGGUAAACCUAAAGUGAAUAUGGGAUUUUGGAGUUAUCCCAUAGAUGAUAAUGGUGACUUGCACCAUAGUAGUGCCCGUUGGAAUUUCAGAUGUCCUAUAAAAAUAAUGUCUCUCUAAUUAUGCUUGUCAGCAUGGUUUUAGUAAGUAAAUAAAGGUGAAAUUUACCACAGCACUAAACAGAAGAUUUGGCAGGUAACUGGGAGAGAAAUAACAUGGGCUUUAACCGAAUGGACACCAUGGGAUUUUGGAACUGUCUGGCUAAGUUAUCAUGAUGUCACUGACCACAAUAAUAGCCAUAGAAUUUUGUAGGUUCCAGUCAAUAGAUGACAAUAAAACUCACAGUGGCAAUGAAGAUGGGACUUUGCUGGUAUCCUAGUUAGAGAUUAUGUGGACCUGAAAAACAUGAGUGACCAAAUGAUCUUCAGACAUCUAGAAAACUGAUGAUGAUGUCCUGAACUCUUUUCUUAUCCAUGUGUUUUUACAGGUGUUCAGGUAAGAAAUGUAUGUGCCUAACAAAAGUAGUAACCAUUAGAUUUUACUGUUUUCUAGUUCAGAGACAAUCUUUCUCAAACUUAGUAGUGACAAAGAUAUUAGCAGGUAUCCGGGUAAGAUAUCACAGAGUUCCUCACCACAGUAGUAACUAUGGGAUUUUUGCAGGAGUCCAGUGAACAGACAGUGUGUGAAACUACUAUGUUGACCUUGGACUUCUCUUGAGUGUCCAAGUACACUUAGUGGUUGCCCUAAUGAUUAUAGUGAGUGUAUGCAUGGAAUUAUCAGGGGUCCAGAUGGAAGGACAUGUAUCCUGACCAGGGUUGCCACCAUAUGUUUUCUCAGCAGGUAGUCAAGAGAUGAUGGUGUCUCUAACUACAACAUUGGCCUCAGAACCUUAAGAUUCAGGUAGAGUUCAUGGUUCCCCUAACAAUACUAGUCACCAUGGGAUUUUUUGAGGUGCGUAUAGAAGAUGUAUCCCUAACCACUACUGCUGCCAUAUGGUUUUGCAAGCUCCUAUCAAGAGAUAAUGGUGAAACUCAUAUUAGUCAUUUUUGUAGGAAUUUCAUGGAAUCUAGCUAAGUGAUUAUGUGGACCUUAAACACAGUACAGACCAUCUGCUCUUCAGACAUCGAGGUAAGUGACGAUGAUGUCCUCAACAUGUGUUGGUAUCAUGUGUUUUGCAGGUAUUCGGGUAAAAAAAAAUGAUACGGGCUCUACCAAUAAGUAUUGGAAUCCAUGAGCUUUAGCUUAACCAGUUUUCUAGUUUAGAGAUAUUGUGUGUUUAACUUUAGGAGUGAAUGAGGGAUUUUCAGGUAUCUAGGCAAGUGAUCAUAACUUUCUUCACCACAGUAAUGACCUUGAGAUUUUUAUAGAUGCCCAGACAAUAAAUGACGGUGCCUGUACCAAUGUGUUGACCUUCAGGUUCUGCCAAUAUCCAGGUAGCAUUAAUGGGUUUGUAAAGAUGGAAGUGACAAAAGUUAUUUGCAGAUGUUCUGCUAGAAAAAGUUGCAUUCUUAAACACAUCUGUCACAAUAUGUUUUUUCAGGUUUCAGUCUAAAGAUCAAGGUAACCCUAACAACGGGGAUUAACAUGGAGCUUUGCUGGUAUCCAGGCAAGUGAUGAUGUGGGUCUUAUCACACGGUAGACAUUGUGACCUUCAGAAGUUUACAUAAGUGAUGAUGAUACCUCUAACAUUUGUGUUACCGUGUUUUUUUGGGUUUUUGCAGAUAUUCAGGUAAGAAAUUAUAGUGUUCCCAUAAUUCCUAUUUAAUAAUACACCCUUGCUGCUUACUAGUGCAGAGAUAAUGUUUUGAAAUCUGGCUAUGACUGAGGGAUUUGUAAGUUUCCAAGUAAAUUAUCGUACUGUUUCUCAUCUCAGUAUUGACUAUGGUAUUUUUACAGGUACCCAGUCAAGAGAUUAUGACAUAUCCAUGGUUUUGACCUGGAUAUUCUGCAAGUAUCAAGGUGCUGUCAGUGGAUGGUGGUGAAACUAACAAUGAUAGUGAACAUGGACUUAGCUAAAAGAGAGGGAAAAGAUGGUGUGAGCCUUUACACUUUGGAGAGCUUCAGAUUUCAGUUAUCUCGGAUUCUGUCAGGAGAUUAUGGUGAGCCCAACAGUGGUAGUUGAUGUGGGACACUGCUGGAAUAUAGGUAACUGAUGUGGUAAGUUUAAAUCACAGCAAGUCUACUUGAUUUUCCUAUAUCUAGGUAAGUGAUUAAUGAUGUCCCAAAUACUUGUUACUGUGUUUGUUUCUUUUUUCUUUAUGUAUUCAGUGAUGAAAAGUUCUUACUAGUAAUAGAACCCAUGAGUUCUUUCUUUUUACCUUUUAGGGAAAAUUUCUUUAACUUUGUGAGUAUUGAGGGAUUGUCACAGUAAUUACCAUUGUGUUUCCCACUGCAUUCGUAAUCAUGGGAUCUUUGCAGUUAUCCAGUCAAGAAAUUAUGGUCUUAUCUGAAAUGGUGUUUACCUUGAUGUACUACAAAUAUUCAAGUAGAGAUGAUGUGUCCAGUAAUAUUGGAAGUAACUAAGGUUAGUUGACAGCAUCCUCAUAGAAAAUAAAUUGUGUCCUUUAACAUGUAUUUUCUAAAGUGUUUUUCAUGUUCCUGUCAAGAGAGCAUGGGGAACCUAAAGACGGUGGUUAACAUGGGACGUUGCUGGUGUCCAGGUAAGUGAUGAUGUGAGCCAUAGUGGUAUUGUUGGCUUCUACUUAGUGUUGUCAGCUUUUGUUUUUUUUUAAAGUAUUCAAGUACGAAAUGAUAAUCUCGUUACUGUUACUAUUAACUAUGUUGUUUGUUUUAUAUAUUAAUGUAAACUUAUGUUUAGCCUAGUGAGUGUUGGAUUUGCAGAAAUCUAAGUAAUUCUUAUGAUGUCCUGCUUGUCAGAUGUAACCCCGGGACUUCUGGAAGUGUGCAGUGAACAGAAAGUGUUUUCACUAACAGUAGUGCAGACCAUAGAAUACUACAAGUAAUCAGGAACAUUUGUAAAAAUUUGUUCUUCAGGUUUCAGUCCAGAGAACAUGAUGAACUUCAAAAUGGUCAUUCACAGGGAUUCACCUGGUGCCCAGGUAAGUGCUGAUGUGAGCCUAAACCACAGUACAGGCCAUCUGAUCUUAGGCCAUCUGAUCUUCAUGUAUAUAGGUAAUGAUGGUGUCACAUUUUUUUGACUAUGUGUUUAUCGCAACUAUUCAGCUAAGCAUGAGAUAGCCCUUAACAAUAUGAGGAACCAUGAAUUUUCACUUUUUUAUUCUGUAGAGAAUGUAUGCUCAACCCUUUUAGUGAUGAAGAACUGCACAUGUCUAGAUAACUAUCGUGGUGCUCCUCCUCCACUAGUAGCCAUGGGAAUUUUGAGAUUAUAGUCAGGAAAUGAUGUUUUUAUCUGGCAACAGCACUUCCUUGGAGUACUUCAGAUAUUCAGAUGCCUAUCCAGAGAUCACAAAGGACCUAAAUAUGUUUGUUAACAGGAGACGUUGCUGGUGUCCAGAUAUGUCUUCAAGAGAUGAAGGAGUUUCUUACCUUGGUUUGAACUUGGAAUUCAGCAGGCAUCCAGGUAGCAUGGAUGGGUCCUGAAAUGAUACAGAUCCAAGUCAAGACAUCAUAGUGAGUCUGUGAAAGGUAAUCAGGGAGUCUGUGAAAGAUGGGAUGUUGCCGGUAUCAAGGCAAGAGAUGGUGUGGGACAAAAGCACAGCACAGCACAGCCCAUCUGAUCAUCAUGUGCAUAGGUUCCUGUGAACUGAUUGUUAUGAAACUAAAAGUGGAUGUUAAUAAAAACAUUUCUGCUCUAAGUAAGUGAUGAUGCACACCCUAACCAAUCAUGAAUCAUCUGAUUUUUAUAUAUCUAGGUAAGUUUUACCAUUUGAUUUUUGGUACGUAGUCAGGCAAAACAUGAUAGCAUUUUAUUAAUUCUAGCAGACGUGUUAAUCCAGAGUUUGUAUUUCACAGAAAAUUUACAUUUAACCAGGUGAGUGGUCAAUGAUUUCCAUGUGUCCUUGAAAAUAUCUUGUGGCUCCCCAUCAGGGUAGCAACCAUGGGAUAUUAUCAGCUGUGCAGUUAUCACCACCCAUGAUGGUGUCUCUAACAAAGAUAUGUUGACCUUGAAUUGAAGCAAGUAUCUAGGUAGAGUUGAUGUGUAUUCCAAAAUAAUGGAAGCAUACAAGGUUGUAGGCAAGUGCCCGGGGAGAACAAGUUGUGACCUUAAACACAUUUGUCUUAUAUGAUGUUUCAGGUUCUUGUCAAAACUAUGAGGUGAAUCACAUAAUGCUCAGUAAUGAAACAUUGCUUGUAAACAGGUAGUGAUAACUGUUUGCGUCCUGUAAUGGGGGUAAUUACACAAUGCAGAGCGUUGGAUUUUCUAGGUAGGUAAAAAGGGAUCCCUAAUGCUUAAGCUACUGUGUAUUUUGUAGGUAAUCCAUUCAGGUUUUUGGGCUAGUAUACAGCUACCAGAUAAGGUUGUAUUAACAUGUAAAACACCUUGGUAUUUUCGGAUAUCAACUUUAUUAAUGUUUUACACAAUAUUAACUUAAACUUGUUUUUCACAUUUAUGCAGUUAAAAAUAAAUAUGCCUCUAGUAAUACAAAUAAUCAAGAGAAUUUAUUGCAUGUCUUGACAGAUAAUGAGUAUUGAACACUUACAGAGCUACACAAAUCCACAGGCAUCUGGAUUAACAGUAUUGUCCAAAACCAUGAAAUUAACAACUGGAAUUAUGCAGGGAUCUAAUCAAGAAAGUACAAGGAUUCUUAAAAGGCGUUUUCCUCAAAUUUCUACAAGUAUUGAGGUACCUUUGAUGAUUACAAAAAUAAUAAAAGGGACCAGAAAAGAUUGGAGGUAUAUAGGUAGAAUGAUACGUGUACCAGUCACACUGUUCACAAUAUAUAUUUCAGAUUUACAUUAACAUAUCGCAGCAAGCCUGUCAAAGCUAGGUAACAUGGGACAUUGCUGGCAGAGGUAAGUGCUGAUGCGGGCCUUAACUACAGCCCGCAGCGUGGGACUGUCACAGAGACUAGUUCAGUGAUGAUGUGUCCCUAAACGUCAUCCCGCCAUGAUUUUUUCCCAGGUAUUCAGGUGAGAAAUGAUUGAGUCUUAACCAAUCUCAGAUAGGCUAGGUUUUCUAAUUUUCUCUUUCACCGAAAGUGUAUGCUGACCCUGUGAGUGUUGAGGGAUUGCAAGUAACCAGGUAUUUAUCACUGUAUUACCCACCCCCAUACUGCCCCUGGGAUUUGUGGAAGUGUCCAGUUGUGAAACGGUGGUUUUCUGCUAUCAGGGUCGACCUAGGAUUACUGCAAGUAUCCAGGUCGAGUGGUGUGUCCCAUAAAGCUGGAAGAACUCAAGGUUCUUUGCAGGAGUCCUGGUGGAAAACCCUGUGUCCUUCUACGUAUAUGUUUUCAUGCCUAUUUCAGCCCCUGACCGUGACAUCACAAUGAGUAUGAUACAGGUCUGGAGGUCAGCACUGAUGAGGACUGAAAGCAACGCACGGGCCACGUAAGGUUCAGCAGUCUAGGAAAGUGAUGAUGGUGUCCAUCCUUCCUGUUGUUCCCAUGAUUUCACUUCAGUUGUCCUAGGAAAAAAUGGUAAGACUCCCUGGCAUAGUAAACUGUGAGUUUUCCCUCUGCAUAUUUCAGAGACAAUGACUAACCCUGUGAGUGCAGUGGGACAGCAAAUACCAGGUAAUGAUCUGGCUUUCCCAGCCACAGCAGUGACCGUAGACAUUUUGCAGGUGUCCUGUAGAGAGAAAUGCUGUCUUCUGGGACCACGGCCCUGAGCUUGGGGACCCUGUCAGCAUCCAGGUUCCCGGGAGGAAAUCCUAACUAACCAGAGACACAAUCAGGGGACGUGUCUGCUAUCUGGGUAAGUGAUGGUAUGUGCUGUAAACUCAACACAGACCAUUUGAUCUUAAUGUAUUAGGUCAGUGAGGUUCCUUUCCCUGAACGGUUUACCAUGUGAUGGGUUUAUGGGUGUUCUGGUAAGAAAGGGUAGUAGCUCCCCGUUCUCAUUGCCAUGUGAUCCUGUUGUUUUCAGUCCAGGAGAGAACGUAUGAGGUAUGUACCCCAGAGAAAAUAGCAUGUCCUGCAAUGGCCUAGACCUUGGAGGACCUGCAAACAUCCAGGUACAAUUUUGGCUCCCACAACGAUGAUCGUGAGCAGGCGGUUUUCAUGGUCCUAGUGGAAAUGCUGUGUCCAUAGACACAUUGGUCACAUAUGUGGUUUUAGGUUCCCGUGGAAAGGUCACAGGAAACCUCUUCGUGCUUGAGCGGAGGACUGUGCCUGUAUUUAGGUGGGUGAUGGCGUGGGCCUAAGCAGGCCACGGACUAUCCGAUCUUCCCAUACACAGGUAAAUGCAGAUGGCUUUCUGGCUCUUGUCCCUGUCCUGCCAUGGGUUCCUCGGCUCAUUUUCUGUUCUUUAUUUUCUGCAGUUAUUCAGUUAAGAAACGAUGCUUUGCCAACCAAGACUGGUAAGCAUUAGUCCUUGCUAUGUUCAACUUUAGGAAAAUGUGCCUUGAACCUGAGUCCGUGUUGACUGAGGGAGAUGUGGGUGUCCAGGUAAAUUAUCCUACUCUACCAGACCACAGGAUGGAAUGAUAGUUCUGACACAUCCUCAGUCCAGAGUCAAUAAUGGUGCCAGCAGUGGGGUGGAAGUUGGAGUUCUGCCAGGAUCUAGGUAAGGCCGAUGGUUCCCAGAUGAUGGCAGUGACCAGGCUGUGUAGUGCAUAUCUUUUUCGUCUUUCAGGUACGCCAAGUGGCAUCCCGGAAAACACCUGUCAGAUGCAUUUCUUCUGCUGCUGCUAGUCAUGAGAUCAAGGCCAGCCUGAGAACGGCCAUUCAGGGGCCCUGGAUUGUAACUGGUUAAUUGAUCACAUGAGUCCUAUGCCAGUACAGACCACCUGAACUUCAGAUUUCCUGGACAAAGAGGGCACUCUCCUUGACACACUGUUUUUCCCAUGGUUUCCUGCAGGAGUCCCGUAAAGUUCUCUUCCUGUAGAGAGAUGUGUGUCAGGGCAUCACAGCAGGCCUUUCAAUCCUAGGUAAUGUGGGACAUUGCUGGGUGAGGUAAGUGCCACAGCCUGCAGUGUGGGACUGUUACAGAGACCUAGUUCUGUGAUGAUGUGUCCCUACAUGUCUUCCCAUCGUGAUUUCUUUCCCAGGUAUUUGGGAGAGAAAUGAUUGAGUCCUUACCAAUCCCAGGUAGGCCGAGUUUUCACAUUUUCUGUUUCACCAAAAGUAUAUGCUGAACCCUGAGAGUGUUGAGGGAUUGCAGGUAACCAGCCAGGUAUUUAUCACUGUGUUCCCCACCCCUGUUCUGCCAAUAGGAUUUCUCCUGGUGUCCAGUCAAGAAAUAAUGGAUUUCUGCAUAGAUUUUGACCGUGUAUCACUGAAGUUGUGCAGAUAUUCCGAUAAGAAAUGUAGAGUCCUGGCUGAGCGCAGUGGCCCACGCCUGUAAUCCUGGCACUUUGGGAGGCCGAGGCUGGUGGAUCACAAGAUUCCUGGAAGAAAUCCCAAUGAACAGGGGUCAUUAUCAGGCCACAUUUCUGGUAUCUGUGGUAAGUAAUGAUGUUCACUUUAACCCCAUCACAGACCAUUUGAUCUUCAUAUAUCUAGGUAUUUAGUUAAGGAAUUAUAUUUUCCCAACCAACGCAGGUAAGCAUCAGUCAUUAUUUUAGAGUUUAGUUAUAAUGUGUUUAGUCUUAUAGUGAGGGAGGGAUAUGCAGGUAUCCAGGUAAGUUUUCCUACUGUUUCCCACCACGUUAUUGACCAUGAGACUUCAACAUCAUCAAGAGAUGAUGGUGCCACUACAUUGUUGACAUUGAAGUCAUGGCAAAUCCAAGUAGUGUUGAAGGUUCCCUGCUGAUGGAAGUGCCCAGAAUUAUUUGUGUCUUGUCUUUUUUUAUGUAAAACAAAUUGUUUCCUUAAACACACUUGAGCAAUGUGUUUUUUAGUUUUCUGUAAUGAGCUCACAAUCAAGCUUAACAAUAGUCAUUAAUGGAACCGUGCUGUAACCUGCUAAUUGAGAAAGUGUGUUUCCCACAAUCAGACCAUUAGAUCUUUAUAUUUCCAUGUAAGUGAGGAUGGUGUCCUUAACACUUGUCUACCAUGUAUUCCUGCAGGUAUCCUGUUAAGUUCUUUCCUAGUAUACAGGUAGAAGAUUAUGUGAUAUUAACACAUUAGCAACCUUCCUAUUUUCAGAUAUGUAGGUGAUUAAUGAUUUUUUUGAGACUCUUCUUGUAACCUUGUGUUUGUCAUGCAUGCAGUUAAGAAAUUACUUUUUCCCUAACAUUACUAGUAAGAGUGAGAUUUUACUGUGUUCUUGUUUAGACAUAAUGUGUAUUUAUCAAUUGUAGUGAUAUAUGGAUAUGCGAGUAUCCAGGUAAUUUAUCAUAUUGUCCAUCACUGUAAUGCUGAGAUUUUUGUAGGUAUCACUUCAAGAGAGGAAAGUUUCUCUUACGAGUGUUUUCCCUUGGCAUUAUGCAAGCAUCCAGUUACCUUUGAUAGGCCCUGAAAUGAUGAAAGAGACGAAGGGAAUUUGCAGGUGUACAGGUAGAAUGAGACAUUUAGGAAACACAUUUUCAACAGUAUAUUUUUUAGGUUCAUUUGAAGAGGUCACAGUGAGCCUAUCAGUAAUAGUUAACAGGGGUCAUUGCUCGUAUGGAUGUGCAUGAUAAUGUGGGCCUAAAACACAGCCCAGCCCAUCUGAUCUUCCCUUAUAUAGGUAAGUGGUGGUGUCCCUAACACUUCUGUUACUAUGAUUUUGUUGUAGCUGUUCAAGUAAGAAAUGAUAGAGCUCUUACCAAUUUAAAAAAACAUUAUUUUUCUCACUUUUUAUAUUUUAGAAUAACUUUAUGAUUAACCUCUGAGUUUUGAGUGAUAGUGCCUAUCCUGGUUAUUGGUGUUUCUUACCACAGCAGUAACCAGGGGAUUUUUACAGGUGUCCUGUCAAGAAAUGACCGUCUUACCUGACAGUGGUAUUGAUCUUGCAUUAUUACAAGUAUCCAGGUAGAGUUUAUGUGUUCUGUAAUGAUGGAGUGACGAAGGUUAUUUUCAGAUGUCUUGGUGGAAAUGUUUGUGUCCUUUAACACAUAUUUCACAAUGUGUAUUUCAGGUUUCUGUAGUGAGACCCUGAUAAACCUAACAAUGGUUGGUAUGGCAGACAUUUCUGGUAUGCAGGCAAGUGAUGAUGUGUUCUUUAACCACAUCAUAGACCAUCAGAUCUUCUUAUAUCUUUUUUUUUUUUUUUUUUGACAGAGUCUCGCUUUGUCACCCAGGCUGGAGUGCAGUGGGGUGAUCUCGGCUCACUGCAGCCUCCACCUCCCAGGUUCAAGCGAUUCUCGUGCCUCUGCAUCCUGAAUAGCUGGGAUUACAGGUGUGCACCACCACAUCCUGCUGAUUUUUGUAUUUUGAGAGAUGGGGUUUUGGCACGUUGGCCAAGCUGGUCUCGAACUCCUGGCUUCAAGCAGUCCACCCACCUUGGCCUCCCAAAGUGCUGGAAUUACAGGCGUGCACCACCACGCCCGGCCAGAUCUUCAUAUAUCUAAGUAAGUGUUAUACAUUUACCUAAACUUUUUUACUGUGUGAUUUUUUUCCAUAGGUACUCAAGUAAGAAAUGAUAGUCUUUACUAACUACAGCAACCAUGUUAUCCUGCUGUUUUAUAUUUUAGAGAAAAUUUAUGUUUAACUUUGUGAUUGGCGAGCUAUUUGCUAUCCAAGGAAUUAACCAUGGAGUUGCAUGUCAUAGUAGCAAUUGUGGGUUUGUUUGCAGGUAAGUAGUAGAGAGAAAAUGGUAUCUGUAACAGUGCUAUAGACCUUGCAGUACUGCAAGAUUCCAGGUAUACUUGAUGGUUCUUGGAAUGAUGGUAGUGAAUAAGCUUAAUUGUGGGGUUCAAGGAAAAAAGCUGUGUCUACACACAUUUGUCAUAAUGUGUUUUUAGGAUCCUGUCAAGAAGACAUGGUAAACCUCAUCAUGAUCAAGAAUGAGACUUUGCUUGCAUCCAGGCUUCCCAAAAGUUGUUUGAUAGUAUACAGGCAUGAGAUGGUGUGACUCUAACUCAUUAGAUGCCUUCGUCUUUUCAGUCAUAUCCAUCUAAACUUUUACUUCAUUGGAGGGUCCUUCCUGACCCAUGCAACUCAACAAAAAACUCUCACAGUUUUUAUAUGCUUUGUUGGGGAUUAACCCAUCUUGCAUUGCAUUGCUAGCUUAGUAUGUCUAGCAUGGGCAUGCCUGCUGAAGUUUGGAACUUCCCAUCAAGGAAACAGGAAAAUGCCAUUGGCAAUGAGCUGAAGACUGAUUUACUCUACCAGGAGCAGCAGGACAUCUGGGGAUGAGAAGAUGGAGAGAUCAUCCUUAUAUAAUGUUGCAGUCUGGAAGCAUCACUCUCAAAAAGCCAUUGUAGAGAAUCCAAGCCGAGUUUAAGAGUGCUGUGGAAAUACACUGCUGCUACUGCUGUUUCUAUUACUGUUUGAUGCUGGGACUCUUAUGCUCCAACCACGUUUUCACCCAGCUGAGUCGCCUUCGUAUCACGCCUUUCCAGUUAGUUGGCCUACGC
rnacentral:lncRNA from 1 species